ACAACUCUCUCUUCCCACGCAGACGAAAGAAAGAGAAACAAGUGUUUGCGUGUGUCUCUCGGCAAAGCAUUUGCGUGUGUUCCUAUGACACCACGAGCACGAAUUUGUUCAACAGCCCGACACCAAAGGAAAGCGUUCAGCUAACAGCAGCAGCAGCAAACUCAGCGGCGGCGGCAGCAGCAGCAGCAGCAGCGCAAACAGCAAAAGCGGCGGCGGCGGCAUCAGCAGCAGCAGCAGUAGCAGCAGCAGCGCAGAUGGCAGCUUAUCCUUAUAUCCUAGUAUGGCCGAAUUGGAUUGAUUGAUCUAGUUGUAUCUCUCUUUGUCGUCAUUUAGUGGCUUAUUGACAGUGUGUAUGUGUGGUGUGUAAGACGAUUGCUAUCGAAACAGCAACAGAGUAGUAGCCUCAAUGCGAUUUAGGAGUAGUUAAAUGCUUGCACUAAAAGAGGGACCUAAUACGAACAGAAUCAGAAGCAUGAACCGGUGGCUGCGUGUGUGUGUGUGUGUGAAGAAGAAGCAGCUGUGUUGUAUCCUUCGGGGAAAAAAAAACAAAACACAUCGACUACGAUUUGCAAAUCCAUCUCACGUUUAUGAAACGUUCUUACGCUGUAGAAAAAGAAAGCAAGUAACCAACCCACACACACACACAUACACACACCGCAUAUGAUAGUCUCACUCGGGUUUUAGUAGCAGAGGGAGUGUCGAGGAAGUGUGUGGUGUCCAAGAUGUCAGUUAACACCGGUUUAAUCAAUGUUUAACUUGAAAACGUUUGUCAGCAAAUUGUCAGUUACAAAACAAAAAUCCACCUUAGAAUGCAAUGCGAAGCGAAUAUUGCAAAACACAGCACCGCAUAUAGUGUAUGGUAAUGAAUGGUAUAAGUGCGUAGUUAAAAACACACAAAACAAAGCAUAAGACGAAAGAGAGGAGAAAAGAAACACAAAAGAUAGUAUAAAAAUGCAGUAAGUAACUCAUUAUUGAUAAAAAUAAGAGCUUUUCAACUAAAGAACUACUACUACUACCAAGCUAGUAAGAGAAGAGAGAACGUAUUUAAAA